rnacentral:tRNA from 1 species
GCCUCUCUAGCUCAGUGGAUAGAGCACCGCACUACGGAUGCGGGAGUCGGGGGUUCGAAUCCCUCGAGGGGCA